rnacentral:rRNA from 1 species
AUGGCGACGUCUUCAAGCUCCACCUCCUUCCCCUUGUCACCAUUUGUGCACAGCGUCACCGAGAAGCUCACGAGAGGGAACGAGACGCUAUGGCGCGCAACUGUGCUCUCGGCGAUCAGAGGGGCACAGCUGCAGGGCUACCUCGACAUCGACCAGGUAGUGCCUCCUCGGAACGUUGAAGUUACCUCUGACGAUGGCAAGACCAAGUCGAAGGCACCCAACCUGGAGUUCUCCGCGUGGUACGCGAAGGAUCAGCAGGUGUUCUCCUACUUGUUGUCCUCCCUGCCGCGCGAGAUGGCCAUCCAAGUGGCAACCUGCCACACCGCCGCCGAGCUCUGGAACACGGUGCAGGGCAUGCUGACCUCGCACACCCGCGCCCGCACCGUCAACGUCAGAAUUGCACUGGCGAACCUUCAGAAGGGCAACUCCAACAUCACUGAAUAUGUUGGUAAGAUUAGAACUUUAUGUGAUUAA